UACGUAGGGUGCAAGCGUUUUCCGGAUUUAUUGGGUUUAAAGGGUGCGUAGGUGGCUGAUUAAGUCAUGGGUGAAAGCCCGCAGCUCAACUGUGGAAUUGCCUGUGAUACUGAUUAGCUUGAGUGCGGUUGAGGCAGCUGGAAUUGGUGGUGUAGCGGUGAAAUGCAUAGAUACCACCAGGAACACCGAUUGCGAAGGCAGGUUGCUAAGCCGUAACUGACACUGAGGCACGAAAGCGUGGGGAGCAAACAGG
rnacentral:rRNA from 1 species